UACAGAGGGUGCGAACGUUGCUCGGAAUCACUGGGCGUAAAGCGCGUGUAGGCGGGUGAUCAAGUCAGGUGUGAAAUCCCUGGGCUCAACCCAGGAACUGCAUCUGAAACUGGUCGUCUUGAGUACUGGAGAGGGAAGCGGAAUUCCUGGUGUAGAGGUGAAAUUCGUAGAUAUCAGGAGGAACACCGGUGGCGAAGGCGGCUUCCUGGACAGUCACUGACGCUGAGACGCGAAAGCAUGGGGAGCAAACAGGAUUAGAAAC
rnacentral:rRNA from 1 species